rnacentral:misc_RNA from 1 species
GAUGAAGAACGUAGUGAAAUGCGAUAAGUAAUGCGAAUUGCAGAAUUUCCGUGAGUCAUCGAAUCUUUGAACGCACAUUGCGCCCCUUGGUAUCCCGAGGGGCAUGCCUGUUCGAGCGUCAUUUCACCACUCAAGCCUGGCUUGGUGUUGGGCGACGUCCUCUUUGGGGACGCGCCUCGAAACGCUCGGCGGCGUGGCACCGGCUUUAAGCGUAGCAGAAUCUUUCGCUUUGGAAGUCGGGGCCCCGUCUGCCGGAAGACCUGCUCGCAAGGUUGACCUCGGAUCAGGCAGGGAUACCCGCUGAACUUAAGCAUAUCAAUAAGCGGAGGA